rnacentral:sRNA from 1 species
AAACCUGUCAUGGUUCUAUCCUAAAGCGACAUAUAAACUGCCAGUACGUGGCAGGCAUUUUGAAUUUUGUCUCCAUAGCAACUGUGGUCAAGGCAAUCCUGAUUUGUCUACAAAUUUUUCUUUGGUGGAGCUUUCAGGAUUUAAUCUUUUUGAAUCAGUUCUAGAAGAGCCAGAAGACUUAGCUAGUUGCAGCUCAAUGGAAGAAAAAUCUCCGGUCAGCGAGGAGUCGGUAACUCCUGACUAUGUUUGUAUAGACUCAGACCAUGACAUGGAAAUCGUACAAACCAGCGACAUCAGCGAUACAUCCAUCAGUUCAUCACUCAUUCAUUCUUCUGAUACAAUUGAAUGUAACCAUAGUGAUAGAAAACGUAUGAAAAAGUUUGAUUCAAAAAGUUCUAUUCUCUCUCGUUCCAGCGUGUUAGGUUCAGUGUCAGACAGAUCAACAGAAUUUGAUGAUAAAGAUUCUGAAAUAUUGAGUGUAAAUUAUUCAGAGUAUAUCUGGUUUAAGUCACCACUUGUUAUGAAAGGUUAUAGGAAUAAAUUCUAGAACUUGU